ACGCGUGAUGGAUUAUUAGCUCAAUCUCCAGCCCCUCUCCCUUUCCUGGAGGGUGGGGGUGGAGCCAAAAGCUCCAGGCUCCUCGUCGAAUCUGGGUCUUUCUGGUGCUCAGCCCCCAACCCCACCCAGGAGCCACUGAGAGUCACCUCAUUAAACCAAAGACAAGGGAUUAGGAGCUUUGUGUCAGGAACCCGGAAAGAGACCAAAUAGAAGUGAAUGUUUCUUAUUAUGUCACACAGCCACACCACGAGGUUGGUGCAGGAGCCCUUGAAGGAAGCCCUUGGAGGAUCUGAGACCAAGAGGGCCUGAUCAGAUCGGAGUUUUGGAAAUCACCAAAAACCACCCAGAAGACAGCUCAGUGGACCCUAGCAGUGGAUUCUACAUGUCUGCAGAAAAUGAGCAGAAAACAAGCCAGAGUUACAGCUAUCUGCAGAGAGACUACAUCCAGGAGCUGACACCAUGAAUCACAGUGGAAUUCUCCAAAUGGAAUGCAGCCACACCUCAGCUUCUGUGCUGCGUGCUGCCACUGAGGACAUUCGAUACCAUUGAAGCCGUCAGAUAGAGGCCGUAUUUCAAAAGGUCUACGGUGGCUCCGUUUCUUCUCUGAGACUUCAAAAGUCCUUCAAGAGUGAGUUCCCGUCUCAUUCUAUGUCCAGGAUGAAGACGGAUGGCCUCUUGGCACCCAUCUCUUUGGCAUGAACGAUGUGGGGAAACGUGAAUGGAAAUGGGGAACUGUUGCUGGCACCCAGAAGUCAUCCGGUCCGGAUGAAGCCAAGUCACAAGGAAGUGCCUCCAAUUAUUCUUCAUAAAUUCCUCUGAGGUUUCACUUCUUGUCCACACAAGACUUUAAUAAAAUGUGGCAUCUAACUGAAUAAAGACUAUCCUUUCGGG
rnacentral:lncRNA from 1 species